AAUUUAAUUGUGCGAUUCAAUUUAAUUUGAUAAUUAUUAUCUUACUUUAAAAUUUUUCUUUUUUUG
rnacentral:tRNA from 1 species